rnacentral:rRNA from 1 species
GAUGAACGCUGACAGAAUGCUUAACACAUCAGCAAUUGAUUGGUGGCGGACGGGUGAGUAACGCGUAAAGAACUUACCUCACAGUUAGGGACAACAUUUGGAAACGAAUGCUAAUACCUAAUACUGUGAGAGAGCUUUGCGUCCCAUUAGCUAGUUGGAGAGGUAACGACUCACCAAGGCGAUGAUGGGUAGCCGGCCGGAGAGGGUGAUCGGCCACAAUGGUACUGAGACACCGCCCUGACUCCGACUGGAGGCAGCAGUGGGGAAUAGUGGACAAUCGUCCAAAGUCUUAUCCAGCACUUCUGUGUGCACGAUGAAGUUUUCGGAAUGUAAAGUGCUUUCAGUUGGGAAGCGGUACCAACAGAAGACGUGACGGCUAAAUACGUGCCAGCCGCCGCGGUAAUAC